rnacentral:lncRNA from 1 species
CCUACAGCAUGCAGAAAUUCCCAGGCCUGGGACCAAACCCAUGCCACAGCAACAACACAAGCCACUGCGGUGACAGACCCAGAUACUUAACCCACUGAGCUACACAGAAAUUCCAGGGACAGUUUCUUUAAUUGGCUUCCAGUCUCUAUCCUUUUACUACCUUUUCUUGCUGUAUUGUGCUGCUUAUACCUUAAAACUUCUAGCGCUACGUUGAAUUCAUACUUCAUUGCAGCUGCCAACCUACAUGACAGCUCACAGCAAAGCCGGAUCCUUAACCCCACUGAGGGAGGCCAGGGAUUGGACCCACAUCCUCAUGGAUACUAGUCAGGUUCUUAUCCUACUGAGCCACAAUUAGGUCUCUGAAAUCCCAGUUAUGAUGGGGGAUUUUUCAGGUCCUGUCUCUGUUUAGGCAAGACGUAGAAAUAUGUAAAGGAGGCCUUAUAUCUAAAUUGAGCUGGCAGAAACUGAACUAUGGUUGUUCUGUCAAGGUGCAGAGUCAGAAAUACUUCUGUUUAGAGUUCCUGUUGUGGCUCAGCGGCUUAAGAACCUGACUGCUAUCCAUGAGCAUGUGGGUUUGAUCCUUGGCCUUGCUCAGUGGGUUAAGGAUACACCACUGCCCAGAGCUGUGGUGUAGGUCACAGAUGCUGCUCUGAUCACAUUGCUGUGGCCAUGGGGUAGGCCAGCAGCUGCAGCUUCCAUUCAACCCCUAGCCUGGGAACUUCCAUAUGCUGCACAGCCCUAAAAGGAAAAAUUUAUGAAAAAAAUCCCUCUGUGUUUAGAGGCUAGAAAUAUCACAUUCAAGAGAUCUUGCUGUGGCAUAGCAAUUUCUCUGCAGUGCCAGGAUGCAGGUGAGAUCCCUGGCCCAGCACAGCAGGUUGAAGGAUCUGCCGUUGCUGCAGCUGUAGCAUAGGUCAAAACUGCAGCUUAGAUCUGAUCCCUGGCCCGGGAAUUCCAUAGGCCAUGAGGCACCCCCUCCAAAAAAUAAAACAAAGAAACAAACCACAUUCACAGGGAGUAUUGGGCCCAGUGAUCUGUCCACCUGUGCACAGGUCUGUCCUCUCCUCUCUCCAUCCUGGACCCUCUUGACUUGUUCUCCCAGCAUCCUCCUUCCUAGAGCUUUGUGGAGUUUAGAAGAAAAAUAAUCACUAGAUUGAGAUAUCUGGGCUCUGUUUCUCUGGAGAAAUGUAUGCCAGGGUCCUAAGAUUCUAAGCUUAGGAACUCAGCUUUGUCAUCAGAUAAGAUAUUUGCCCUGAGAAGUCAAAAAAUACUAAUGGCUUUUGAAAUUCACUCGUGUUAUCAUGCUUCUGGAUGGACACACCUGUUCCCAAUUCUGUAGCUACAUGUUACUUCAUGCUUUGACAUCUUUAACAUACCAGCUGCAUGCUCGAGCUGGAACGCCUUCAUGAGUUUUGGUGGACAGCGAGGGACGGAGUGGUCAGUGAGCAAAGACUGAAGACACAUUCAGACAUACUGAGCUUCUUUUACUCUGCUUUGGUGUCCACCCUCUGUGACUUUGUGUUUUCUACUGCUCUGUGUCUGUUCAGGGAUUUCCACUCAGCGUGGUUACUUCUGUUUUCCCUGAGCAAAGCCCAAGCUAAUUGUAAUCUUUCUGAGCAGAAAUCAGUCCCUGUGCAUGUGACUUCACCAUGGCUCGUUCCUUCUGGGCCCCCAUCUUCUACCUUUCCUUGUGCAGUUGUUGGAUGUUAACUAUUUUUUGCUUUGUUUUGCUUGGUUUUUUUUUUAGGGCCGCACCUAUGGAGGUUCCCAGGCUAGGGGUCUAAUUGGAGCUACAGCUGCAGGCCUACACCACAGCCACAGCAACGCCAGAUCCGAGCCACAGGCGGCUCUUAAAAAAAUAUUUAAAAAAAGAGAGAGAGAGAAAGAUCUCCUAACAGAAGAGAGAAGGGGAAAAGAUGGUAGUCUUCAACUGCUGUCAUGUGUUUCCAUCUGAGAAACAAGAACUAACUAUAUUAAGAGGCUCCUUGUAACAUUUGUAAGGCACUGACUUUUAGAAUAGGUCCCUCCAACCUCAGAUAGAGCUAAGAAAGAAAAGUAUAUCUGACCUUAGGCCCUUUCCUUCCUUCCUGUGUAUCUGACCACUGCAGCUUUAGAAGCUAGAACUUCAGGAAGUCAGCAAGGCCUAAGGUGCUAGACAGUUCAGGGAUGGUGCCAACUUUCAGCAUUAUUGGGAUAAUGUCCAAAACUUCUAAGGUUUCAACCCAAACCUGAAGGAUCUGCUACUGGCAUAUUCCAGAAAAACCAGAGAGCCAUCUUAUUUUGGUGGAAGCUUGAAGUGAUGGCUGUGCCAUUAUUUACCUAUUAUUGCUUGGGCCAAGCCUACCUUUCUCUGUUCCACUCUGCCUUGCUGGGCCUGGAGUCUGUAAACUGCAUUUUCCAAGUUCCCUUGCCACCUGAUUUCUUUCCAGGUCCUGCCCAUGGAAGGUGCUGGUGGGAGGCUGGAAGGUGGCAAGGAAGGGCAUCCCUCAGUCUUCAGCUACUGCAGCUCUCCACAAGGGCACCCCCCAAAGGCUGGAGCCCCUGCUGCACAGACCCUCUUAGAGAUCCCAGCACCAGCUGGUGGUGGCCCAUCCCUUUUGCAUGAAAUGCCUAGAGUGGAUUCUAUGUCCUGGGUGUUAAUUGAUAGGAUACUUGGUACCAGGAUUAGGAGUGAUUUCCCACCUAGUGGAACACAUUGGACUUUCUCAUGCAUCUGAGGUACUCUCCUCCUCCUGUUCCCCAGUCUACUCAGUGAGAUGUCACGAAUAUAAUGGAUCUAUGUGAUGUUCUGUGGAAUGUCAGGAAGAUGAAGUUCUCUGCUGAUACAAUGAUGGGAAGGAGAGGUGAUGUGACCCUGAGGCUAGACAAGUAAUGUAUUGCUGUCUCUGAAAUACCUCCUUCCCAACUGGUGGUUAAUGAAUCUGACUAGGAACCAUGAGGUUGUGGGUUCGGUCCCUGCCCUUGCUCAGUGGGUUAACGAUCCGGCAUUGCCAUAAGCUGUGGUGUAGGUUGCAGACGCGGCUUGGAUCCCGCGUUGCUAUGGCUCUGGCGUAGGCUGGUGGCUACAGCUCCGAUUCGACCCCUAGCC